UGAUAGCGUAGAAGCGGAGGUUGCUGUAUAUAAUACAGGUUAUUUCGUGGAGCGAAUGUCAAUUUACAAAACUGACGACAA
rfam:Coprococcus sp. CAG:782 genomic scaffold, scf41